UCAUCCCCGGGGGCCUUCAGAUGAAGCGCUCAUCUGAGGGCGGAGGGAAUCGUUUGCCUUGACGUAUUUCGGUGUCUCUCCGGCAUUCCUAAAGCAUCCGUCCCCUUUCUGCGUCCCCGCGUGAUGGAUCAGCAGGAGCACGGGCUGAAAUUUUCAUUGCUGUGAAUUCGCUCCACGGCCACCACGGGCGAGCAGCGCGUGGCUCUCAUCCCUCCCUUUCUGAUCACAUUUUCUUCCUCUCCCGGAGCAGAAACCAUCUCCAGCGGCACUCCUGCUGGGCUGCCCAGGCACCAGAGGGGUAACGAGGCAUUUCCAGUGCAUCUUGCUCCAAGUGCAUCUGCUGGGUGCGUUUCAGAGGCUGCAAGGGGACCGUUAAUCAUGUUUGGAGUCAGACACCCCAGCAGAGCCACAGCCGCUUCUUGUCUUCAGCCUGCUGAUGGGCAGACUGGCCUCGUGGCUGGGCCAGGACACCCAGGAUGCGCCAGAGAGCUCAUUUAUCAUUGUCACCGCAGAUUUGGCAUCCAUACCGUACAUCAGGGCUCGUACCUUCGCCGCCAGACCCCCAGAACCUUUGGUAAAACACCGAAGAGGCGAGCGUGUGGGCACCAGAGCUGGGCCCGGCGCUGCUGUGGGGCUGGAGGCUGCCAAAGGAAUGUUUUUGACGUUUUUAACAUCGGUUUUCCAUCCUUCAGGGAGGGCGUGGAGGAGGGAGCUGCCUGUCCUGGGCUCCCCACGAGGUGGCAAUGCUGCUCUCCUGUGCGGGAGCAGCUCUGCCACCAGGUAAGGCUGAGAUGCUGCAGGAGCUUUCGUGCGCAGGGCCUGGAAAACAAAAUAAAUAAAAUAAAUAAACAAUAAAUAAAUAAAUAAUAAAAGUAAAAAUAAUAAAUUAAAAACAAAACAAAAUAAAUAAAAUAAAAAUAAAAAUAAUGAAAUAAAAAAAUAAUAAUAAUGAAAUGAAACGAAAUGAAAUGAAAUAAAAUAAAAUAAAAUAAAAUAAAACCACCUCCAUGCUGAACACUAGCUCUGUGCACAGGAAAAAUCUCUGCGCAUGGGGCCGUGGCGGUGUCUGGUGAGCUGCCAGAUGUGUUUUGGGGUCACCAGGCGGAGCGGAGAGGCCCCGGAGCGGUUUGUGUCCUGCUUUCCUGGUCCCAGGGGAGGCACAGCGCUGCAGGGGUGCUCAGGGCUGGGGCUGGCUUCUGGAAACCGCCUCGUCCCUUGGCAGCGAGGGGCACGGAUGGACCAUGGACGGGCCCUGCAGCGAGGAAACACGAAGACGGAGAGGGCAGGGGGUGCCCAGCACCUGUGCCGAGGCUGCAGAGGAGCUGCAGGGGGAAAGACCCCCGUGGGCACGCUGCACGGUGUGUGCAUGCUCCGUGCGGGGUCCUGGGUGCUUUCGGCCUCCGUGUGACUGCACGGACCCAGGUUCAGGACGAGCUGGAUUUCUGACGCACGCCGUUUGAUCCCAUUAAUCGGCACCGACGGUCAUUAACCCUGAUGAUUAAUUAACCUGCUCCUGGAAAGCGCUGAGGCACGGCCAGGGUGAGCCCGGUUGUCACGGGGCCAGCGGCGGCGCAGGGAAUCCCGCGCUGUUUGCUCCGAGGCCGCCUUCCCUUUCUGCACAUGGGAAUUCCUGGAAAUUCACAUCCCAAAUUUGGCAAACCCUGGAAAAAAAA